rnacentral:rRNA from 1 species
AACGAACGCUGGCGGCAGGCCUAACACAUGCAAGUCGAACGGUUGUAGCAAUACAGCCGUGGCGCACGGGUGAGUAACGCGUGGGAAUCUGCCCAGUAGUACGGAAUAACAGUUGGAAACGACUGACAAUACCGUAUACGCCCUUCGGGGGAAAGUUUUUCGCUAUUGGAUGAGCCCGCGUCAGAUUAGCUAGUUGGUGGGGUAAUGGCCUACCAAGGCGACGAUCUGUAGCUGUUCUGAGAGGAAGACCAGCCACACUGGAACUGAGACACGGUCCAGACUCCUACGGGAGGCAGCAGUGGGGAAUAUUGGACAAUGGGCGAAAGCCUGAUCCAGCCAUGCCGCGUGAGUGAUGAAGGCCUUAGGGUUGUAAAGCUCUUUUGGCGGGGAAGAUAAUGACGGUACCCGCAGAAUAAGUUCCGGCUAACUUCGUGCCAGCAGCCGCGGUAA